rnacentral:rRNA from 1 species
ACUCCUACGGGAGGCAGCAGUGGGAAUAUUGCGCAAUGGGGCAAGCCCUCGACGCAGCCAUGCCGCGUGAGUGAAGAAGGCCUUAGGGUUGUAAAACUCUUUCAGUGGUGAAGAUAAUGACGGUAGCCAUAGAAGAAGCCCCGGCCAACUCCGUGCCAGCAGCCGCGGUAAUACGGAGGGGCGUAGCGUUGUUCGGAAUUACUGGGCGUAAAGCGCAUGCAGGUGGUUUGUUAAGUCAGAUGUGAAAGCCCGGGCUCAACCUCGGAAUUGCAUUUGAAACUGGCAGACUAGAGUACUGUAGAGGGGUGAGAAUUUCAGGUGUAGCGGUGAAAUGCGUAGAGAUCUGAAGGAAUACCGGUGGCG